rnacentral:misc_RNA from 1 species
GAUGAAGAACGUAGCGAAAUGCGUUACUUGGUGUGAAUUGCAGAAUCCCGUGAACCAUCGAGUCUUUGAACGCAAGUUGCGCCCGAAGCCAUUAGGCCGAGGGCACGCCUGCCUGGGCGUCACACGUCGUUGCCCCCCCAUCUACUCCUUCGGGAUUGCGGGGGGCGGAUGAUGGCCUCUCGUGCGCCUCGUCGCGCGGUUGGCCUAAAUGCCAAGUCCUCGGCGACGCACGCCACGACAAUCGGUGGUUGCGAAACCUCGGUUGCCUGUCGUGUGCGGUCGUCGCGCAUCGAGGGCUCGAAAAAAUUGCCGGGCUUCGGCUCGACUUUCAACGCGACCCCAGGUCAGGCGGGGUUACCCGCUGAAUUUAAGCAUAUCAAUAAGCGGAGGA